AACGACUCUCGGCAACGGAUAUCUCGGCUCACGCAUCGAUGAAGAACGUAGCAAAAUGCGAUACUUGGUGUGAAUUGCAGAAUCCCGUGAACCAUCGAGUUUUUGAACGCAAGUUGCGCCCGAAGCCUUUUGGCCGAGGGCACGUCUGCCUGGGCGUCAC
rnacentral:rRNA from 2 species